CCUACGGGAGGCAGCAGUGAGGAAUAUUGGUCAAUGGCCGCAAGGCUGAACCAGCCAAGUCGCGUGAGGGAUGACGGUCCUAUGGAUUGUAAACCUCUUUUGUCAGGGAGCAAAGGGCGCCACGUGUGGCGCUUUGCUCGUACCGGAAGAAACAGCAUCGGCUAACUCCGUGCCAGCAGCCGCGGUAAUACGGAGGAUGCGAGCGUUAUCCGGAUUUAUUGGGUUUAAAGGGUGCGCAGGCGGAAUGUCAAGUCAGCGGUAAAAUUUCGGGGCUCAACCUCGGCGUGACGUGGAGACUGGCGUUCUUGAGUGAGCGAGAAGUAUGCGGAAUGCGUGGUGUAGCGGUGAAAUGCAUAGAUAUCACGAAGAACUCCGAGUGCGAAGGCAGCAUACCGGCGCUCAACUGACGCUCAUGCACGAAAGCGUGGGUAUCGAACAGGAUUAGAUACCCUUGUAGUC
rnacentral:rRNA from 1 species